GACGAACGCUGGCGGCGUGCUUAACACAUGCAAGUCGAACGGUGAUGGAGAGCUUGCUCUCCGGAUCAGUGGCGAACGGGUGAGUAACACGUGAGUAACCUGCCCCUGACUCUGGGAUAAGCGUUGGAAACGACGUCUAAUACCGGAUAUGACUUACGGACGCAUGUUCUGUGGGUGGAAAGAUUUUUCGGUUGGGGAUGGACUCGCGGCCUAUCAGCUUGUUGGUGAGGAAUGGCUCACCAAGGCGACGACGGGUAGCCGGCCUGAGAGGGUGACCGGCCACACUGGGACUGAGACACGGCCCAGACUCCUACGGGAGGCAGCAGUGGGGAAUAUUGCACAAUGGGCGCAAGCCUGAUGCAGCAACGCCGCGUGAGGGACGACGG
rnacentral:rRNA from 1 species